GUGGGGAAUUUUGGACAAUGGGCGCAAGCCUGAUCCAGCAAUGCCGCGUGCAGGAAGAAGGCCUUCGGGUUGUAAACUGCUUUUGUACGGAACGAAACGGUCCUGGUUAAUACCUGGGGCUAAUGACGGUACCGUAAGAAUAAGCACCGGCUAACUACGUGCCAGCAGCCGCGGUAAUACGUAGGGUGCGAGCGUUAAUCGGAAUUACUGGGCGUAAAGCGUGCGCAGGCGGUGCUGUAAGACAGGCGUGAAAUCCCCGGGCGCAACCUGGGAAUUGCGCUUGUGACUGCAGUGCUGGAGUACGGCAGAGGGGGAUGGAAUUCCGCGUGUAGCAGUGAAAUGCGUAGAUAUGCGGAGGAACACCGAUGGCGAAGGCAGUCCCCUGGGCCUGUACUGACGCUCAUGCACGAAAGCGUGGGGAGCAAACAGGAUUAGAAACCCGGGUAGUCC
rnacentral:rRNA from 1 species